CAGGGAGACAAAAAACUGAUUGUGAUGUCUAGGUUAUUUAUUCCUAGGCCACGAUCCUGUCACCUUAGGUCGAUCGGUACCUCAGGUUAGGAAUGAAUUAGCUAUUGAGAAAUCAGUUUCUAGUUUUUAUUAAUUUCAGUUCCUAAACUUGUCUAGGUCACACCCAACAAGGGUACUCCUGGGCCAUUAGCUCAGGUGGUUAGAGCGCACCCCUGAUAAGGGUGAGGUCCCUGGUUCAAGUCCAGGAUGGCCCAUUCGAUGUUUGGGGGUAUAGCUCAGUUGGUAGAGCGCCUGCUUUGCAAGCAGGAUGUCAGCGGUUCGAGUCCGCUUACCUCCACUGAUCAACUACCUGAUAACUCAAUGGAGAUUGUCAUUUGUUUGCAGUGACUUAGAUGUUGUUCUUUUGAAUGAACCUAGCUUCCUAUCACUCUUUAUUUAUUUCUAAUGAGACUGAUAAGACGCUGGGCUCACUGAUAGAAGUAUCAGUUUGAUUCAGCAGAACCUUGACAACUGCAUAGAAAAGUCUGGAAAAAAAAGCAUCUAAAUAGAUUUAUGGAAGCUUUUAAUUUAAAAGUUUCUAUAUUCAAUUCUUGAGUUAGAGCAAAAGUUCUAUGACUGCAUUCACUUAAAUUUAUUUAAGUGGAGUUCUAAUUUUUAUUAGACAGUUAUAUAGCAAUUUUAAU
rnacentral:tRNA from 1 species